rnacentral:rRNA from 1 species
AUUGAACGCUGGCGGCAUGCCUUACACAUGCAAGUCGAACGGCAGCACGGGAGCAAUCCUGCUGGCGAGUGGCGAACGGGUGAGUAAUAUAUCGGAACGUGCCCAGUCGUGGGGGAUAACGCAGCGAAAGCUGUGCUAAUACCGCAUACGAUCUAUGGAUGAAAGCGGGGGAUCGCAAGACCUCGCGCGAUUGGAGCGGCCGAUAUCAGAUUAGCUAGUUGGUGGGGUAAAGGCCCACCAAGGCGACGAUCUGUAGCUGGUCUGAGAGGACGACCAGCCACACUGGAACUGAGACACGGUCCAGACUCCUACGGGAGGCAGCAGUGGGGAAUUUUGGACAAUGGGCGCAAGCCUGAUCCAGCAAUGCCGCGUGCAGGAUGAAGGCCUUCGGGUUGUAAACUGCUUUUGUACGGAGCGAAACGGUCUGCCCUAAUACGGUGGGCUAAUGACGGUACCGUAAGAAUAAGCACCGGCUAGCUACGUGCCAGCAGCCGCAGUAA